UGGAGUGAGAGUAAGGUGUUGGCUGG
rnacentral:piRNA from 1 species